UUCAUUCUUCCUCUCAAAAUCCACCAAGAACACUCCUUAGGGUUUCAAACAAGAAUUCUAAAUAACUCAAGAUUCAACCGUCGGUUUUAGAAAUUGAUUGAAGAUUUAGAAUCCCCAAACUGAGGGCUUCAAGAAUCAUCCAUGAAAUUUCUAAUUUGAGGGUUUGAGGCUCAGUUUAGAGGUCCUGCUAAGCCGUAGAGUAUUCAGACAGAAGUGAAGUGUGCAGUUGGUGAGUCUUCUUUAUUCCGGAAGGCCUAUUUCUUUCAUACUUUUGAUAUUUAUUUUGGUUUAGGUCCACUGGGGACCUUGUCCCAGUUUUAGACAAUUUUGUUUACUUCGUAUGUGUUGGAGAUUUCGCAGACAGAAACAGAUGUUUAGAUGCUGAUGGGUCUUCUUUCGUAUUGAUAUACUUAAUUCAGGGCAUGACCAUGAUUCCGUAUUA